rnacentral:rRNA from 1 species
UAAUCGGAAUUACUGGGCGUAAAGCGUGCGCAGGCGGUUGUGCAAGACCGAUGUGAAAUCCCCGAGCUUAGCUUGGGGAUUGCAUUGGUGACUGCACGGCUAGAGUGUGUCAGAGGGGGGUAGAAUUCCACGUGUAGCAGUGAAAUGCGUAGAGAUGUGGAGGAAUACCGAUGGCGAAGGCAGCCCCCUGGGGAUAACACUGGACGCUCAUGCACG